rnacentral:rRNA from 1 species
GAUGAACGCUAGCUACAGGCUUAACACAUGCAAGUCGCGGGGCAGCAUGGGGGUUGCUUGCAAUCCCCGAUGGCGACCGGCGCACGGGUGAGUAACGCGUAUCCAACCUGCCCUUCACCACGGGAUAACCCGGCGAAAGUCGGACUAAUACCGUAUGUUGUCCAUUGACGGCAUCCGAUUUGGACGAAAGGUUUGGCGGUGAAGGAUGGGGAUGCGUCCGAUUAGCUGGACGGCGGGGUGACGGCCCACCGUGGCGACGAUCGGUAGGGGUUCUGAGAGGAAGGUCCCCCAAACUGGAACUGAGACACGGUCCAGACUCCUACGGGAGGCAGCAGUGAGGAAUAUGGGUCAAGGGGCGUAAGCCUGAACCAGCCAAGUAGCGUGCAGGAGGACGGCCCUAUGGGUUGUAAACUGCUUUUAUGCGGGGAUAAAGUGGCCCACGUGUGGGUUUUUGCAGGUACCGCAUGAAUAAGGACCGGCUAAUUCCGUG